rnacentral:tRNA from 1 species
ACCUUCGUGGUGUAGCGGUCAGCACGCUCGACGCGUAACCGAGAGGUCCGUGGUUCGAUUCCCGGCGAAGGCG